rnacentral:rRNA from 1 species
UACGAAGGGGGCUAGCGUUGUUCGGAUUUACUGGGCGUAAAGCGCAUGUAGGCGGGCCGUUAAGUUGGGGGUGAAAGCCCGGAGCUCAACUCCGGAAUUGCCUUCAAAACUGGCGGCCUGGAGCAAGAUAGAGGCGAGUGGAAUUCCGAGUGUAGAGGUGAAAUUCGUAGAUAUUCGGAGGAACACCAGUGGCGAAGGCGACUCGCUGGAUCUUUGCUGACGCUGAGAUGCGAAAGCGUGGGGAGCAAACAGG